rnacentral:rRNA from 1 species
UUGAGGUGUCUGGGUAAGGGCCCAAUAACAAACCAUUGAACCAAUUACUUGUCUGAGUAGGCCACCUGCCCCAAUCUUUAAAACAUGUUAAAACUUUCAACAACGGAUCUCUUGGCCCUCCCAUCCAUGAAAAACCCAACCAAAUCCGAUAAUUAAUGUGAAUUGCAAAAUUCACUGAAUCAUCUAAUCUUUAAACCCACAUUGCCCCCUUUGGUAUUCCUUAUGGCAUGCCUGUUCCAGCCUCACUAAAAACCCCCUCACACAUAAUGUGGUAUGGGUAAAAGUGAACGGUACUUACAUUACCUUGUCCCACUCUGCUGAAAUGAAUUGGCCAUAAAAUUGUACCCAUGGUAAUUGACGCCAGGAGUGUUUUUCAAUGCUAAACUAUUCUUUGGGCGAAUCAGGUGCGAAACUAGCUCUGGCCCCCAUUAACCCAAAACAAAAUGUUUGACCUCGGAUCAGGUAGGG